rnacentral:rRNA from 1 species
ACUCCUACGGGAGGCAGCAGUGGGGAAUAUUGCACAAUGGACGAAAGUCUGAUGCAGCAACGCCGCGUGGAGGAUGACACAUUUCGGUGCGUAAACUCCUUUUAUAUAAGAAGAUAAUGACGGUAUUAUAUGAAUAAGCACCGGCUAACUCCGUGCCAGCAGCCGCGGUAAUAC